rnacentral:rRNA from 1 species
UACGUAGGGUGCAAGCGUUGUCCGGAAUUAUUGGGCGUAAAGAGCUCGUAGGCGGUCAGUCGCGUCUGCUGUGAAAACUCGGGGCUUAACUCCGGGCCUGCAGUGGGUACGGGCUGACUAGAGUGCGGUAGGGGAGACUGGAAUUCCUGGUGUAGCGGUGAAAUGCGCAGAUAUCAGGAGGAACACCGGUGGCGAAGGCGGGUCUCUGGGCCGAUAUUGACGCUGAGGAGCGAAAGCGUGGGGAGCGAACAGG